AUUGAACGCUGGCGGCAGGCUUAACACAUGCAAGUCGAGCGGAGAUGAGGUGCUUGCACCUCAUCUUAGCGGCGGACGGGUGAGUAAUGCUUAGGAAUCUGCCUAUUAGUGGGGGACAACAUUCCGAAAGGAAUGCUAAUACCGCAUACGUCCUACGGGAGAAAGCAGGGGAUCUUCGGACCUUGCGCUAAUAGAUGAGCCUAAGUCGGAUUAGCUAGUUGGUGGGGUAAAGGCCUACCAAGGCGACGAUCUGUAGCGGGUCUGAGAGGAUGAUCCGCCACACUGGGACUGAGACGCGGCGCAGACUCCUACGGUAGGCAGCAGUGGGGAAUAUUGGACAAUGGGGGGAACCCUGAUCCAGCCAUGCCGCGUGUGUGAAGAAGGCCUUAUGGUUGUAAAGCACUUUAAGCGAGGAGGAGGCUACUGAGACUAAUACUCUUGGAUAGUGGACGUUACUCGCAGAAUAAGCACCGGCUAACUCUGUGCCAGCCGCCGCCGUAA
rnacentral:rRNA from 1 species